rnacentral:rRNA from 1 species
GAUGAACGCUGGCGGCGUGCCUAAUACAUGCAAGUCGAGCGAAAAGACGAGGAGCUUGCUCCUUUGACGUUAGCCGCGGACGGGAGAGUCACACGUGGAUAACCUCCCUAUCAGACGGGGAUCACUUCGGGAAACCGGCUCUAAUACCGGAUAAUAUAUUGAACCGCAGGGUUCAAUAGUAAGAGACGGUUUUGCGGUCACUUAUAGCUGGAUCCGCGCCGCAUUGGCUAGUUGGUAAGGUAACGGCCUACCAAGGGAACGAUGCGUAGCCGACCUGUGAGGCUGAUCGCCCACCCUGGAACUUAGCCACGGUCCAGACUCCUACGGGACGCAGCAGUAGCGUACCUGCCGCAGUGGGCGAGAGCCUUACGGAACAACCCCGCGCGAGUUAUGAAGGCCUUCCGUGCGUAAAACCCUGUUAUUAGUGAAGAACAAAUGUGUAAUUAACUAUGCACGUCUUGACGGUACCUAAUCAGAAAGCCCCGGCUAACUACGUG